GUGUCAGCAGCCGCGGUAAUACGGAGGAUGCGAGCGUUAUCCGGAUUUAUUGGGUUUAAAGGGUGCGUAGGCGGAAAAAUAAGUCAGUGGUGAAAACCUGCAGCUUAACUGUGGAACUGCCAUUGAUACUGUUAUUCUUGAGUAUGGUCAAGGUAGGCGGAAUGUGUAAUGUAGCGGUGAAAUGCUUAGAUAUUACACAGAACACCGAUUGCGAAGGCAGCUUACUGGACCAAAACUGACGCUGAUGCACGAAAGCGUGGGGAUCGAACAGGAUUAGAUACCCUAGUAGUCC
rnacentral:rRNA from 1 species